AUGGCUCAGGAUGGACGCUAGCGGGAGGCCUAACACAUGCAAGCCGAGCGGUAUUGUUUCUUCGGAAAUGAGAGAGCGGCGUACGGGUGCGGAACACGUGUGCAACCUGCCUUUAUCUGGGGGAUAGCCUUUCGAAAGGAAGAUUAAUACUCCAUAAUAUAUUGAACGGCAUCGUUUAAUAUUGAAAGCUCCGGCGGAUAGAGAUGGGCACGCGCAAGAUUAGCUAGUUGGUGAGGUAACGGCUCACCAAGGCAAUGAUCUUUAGGGGCCUGAGAGGGUGAUCCCCCCACACUGGUACUGAGACACGGACCAGACUCCUACGGGAGGCAGCAGUGAGGAAUAUUGGUCAAUGGGUGCAAGCCUGAACCAGCCAUCCCCGCGUGAAGGACGACUGCCCUAUGGGUUGUAAACUUCUUUUGUAUAGGGAUAAACCUACUCUCGUGAGGGUAGCUGAAGGUACUAUACGAAUAAGCACCGGCUAACUCCGUG
rnacentral:rRNA from 1 species